rnacentral:rRNA from 1 species
AGUGAACGCUGGCGGUAGGCCUAACACAUGCAAGUCGAACGGCAGCACAGUAAGAGCUUGCUCUUACGGGUGGCGAGUGGCGGACGGGUGAGGAAUACAUCGGAAUCUACUUUUUCGUGGGGGAUAACGUAGGGAAACUUACGCUAAUACCGCAUACGACCUACGGGUGAAAGCAGGGGAUCUUCGGACCUUGCGCGAUUGAAUGAGCCGAUGUCGGAUUAGCUAGUUGGCGGGGUAAAGACCCACCAAGGCGACGAUCCGUAGCUGGUCUGAGAGGAUGAUCAGCCACACUGGAACUGAGACACGGUCCAGACUCCUACGGGAGGCAGCAGUGGGGAAUAUUGGACAAUGGGCGCAAGCCUGAUCCAGCCAUACCGCGUGGGUGAAGAAGGCCUUCGGGUUGUAAAGCCCUUUUGUUGGGAAAGAAAUCCAGCCGGCUAAUACCUGGUUGGGAUGACGGUACCCAAAGAAUAAGCACCGGCUAACUUCGUG